GACGAACGCUGGCGGCGUGCUUAACACAUGCAAGUCGAACGGAAAGGCCCUGCUUUUGUGGGGUGCUCGAGUGGCGAACGGGUGAGUAACACGUGAGUAACCUGCCCUUGACUUUGGGAUAACUUCAGGAAACUGGGGCUAAUACCGGAUAGGAGCUCCUGCUGCAUGGUGGGGGUUGGAAAGUUUCGGCGGUUGGGGAUGGACUCGCGGCUUAUCAGCUUGUUGGUGGGGUAGUGGCUUACCAAGGCUUUGACGGGUAGCCGGCCUGAGAGGGUGACCGGCCACAUUGGGACUGAGAUACGGCCCAGACUCCUACGGGAGGCAGCAGUGGGGAAUAUUGCACAAUGGGCGGAAGCCUGAUGCAGCAACGCCGCGUGCGGGAUGACGGCCUUCGGGCUGUAAACCGCUUUCGCCUGUGACGAAGCGUGAGUGACGGUAAUGGGUAAAGAAGCACCGGCUAACUACGUGCCAGCAGCCGCGGUGAUACGUAGGGUGCGAGCGUUGUCCGGAUUUAUUGGGCGUAAAGGGCUCGUAGGUGGUUGAUCGCGUCGGAAGUGUAAUCUUGGGGCUUAACCCUGAGCGUGCUUUCGAUACGGGUUGACUUGAGGAAGGUAGGGGAGAAUGGAAUUCCUGGUGGAGCGGUGGAAUGCGCAGAUAUCAGGAGGAACACCAGUGGCGAAGGCGGUUCUCUGGGCCUUUCCUGACGCUGAGGAGCGAAAGCGUGGGGAGCGAACAGGCUUAGAUACCCUGGUAGUCCACGCUGUAAACGGUGGGUACUAGGUGUGGGGUCCAUUCCACGGGUUCCGUGCCGUAGCUAACGCUUUAAGUACCCCGCCUGGGGAGUACGGCCGCAAGGCUAAAACUCAAAGGAAUUGACGGGGCCCCGCACAAGCGGCGGAGCAUGCGGAUUAAUUCGAUGCAACGCGUAGAACCUUACCUGGGUUUGACAUGGAUCGGGAGCGCUCAGAGAUGGGUGUGCCUCUUUUGGGGUCGGUUCACAGGUGGUGCAUGGCUGUCGUCAGCUCGUGUCGUGAGAUGUUGGGUUAAGUCCCGCAACGAGCGCAACCCUUGUUCACUGUUGCCAGCACGUUAUGGUGGGGACUCAGUGGAGACCGCCGGGGCCAACUCGGAGGAAGGUGGGGAUGACGUCAAGUCAUCAUGCCCCUUAUGUCCAGGGCUUCACGCAUGCUACAAUGGCUGGUACAGAGAGUGGCGAGCCUGUGAGGGUGAGCGAAUCUCGGAAAGCCGGUCUCAGUUCGGAUUGGGGUCUGCAACUCGACCUCAUGAAGUCGGAGUCGCUAGUAAUCGCAGAUCAGCAACGCUGCGGUGAAUACGUUCCCGGGGCU
rnacentral:rRNA from 1 species